ACACGUAACACGUUCCCGCGGUCUAGAAAAUCAACGGUCUUUCGUAAUCUGAUUUUUCUAUCGCGAGACUUGAGACGGCGCACAAUGUAUCCUACAAUAUGUGUAUAUGUGUGCUCAGAAUAUUCUCUAUGGAACACGAAACACACACCAAUCGUCGCGUAUCGGGCCGGAUAGCGGACGUAUCGAGUAGAGUGAAGAGAGAAAGAGAAUAAAGGAGAAAGAAGCAUUGGGCAUAGAGAAAGAGAAAGAGUGGAAGAGAAAGAUAAGCUGAACGUGUGCGGAUGGAAAGAAAGGGAGAAGAAAGAAAGACUGGUGACGGAACAGAAACAGAAAGAGAGAGAGAGAGAGAGAGAGAGAGAGAGAGAGAGAGAGAGAAAGAGAGAAAGAAAAAGAAAGAGAAAGAAGAAAGAGUAGGAGGAGAAUGAACGCAGUUGGGCGGCCGUGUCAGUGGAGUUCAAUCUUAAUAUAGUGUGACCCCCACUGCCAUUCGAGACACUGUCGGAUGCAACUGCAGUUGCAACGCUUGUGCUAGAGAAAGAGAAAAAGAGUCGGUAGGCGAAGAAAGAGGGAAACGUGACAGAAAGAGAGACAUUAGCGGUGGGAGGGUAGGAGAGAAAGCGAGAAAGAGAGGCCACAGUGAACGGGUGCGUGCAUUGCACCUUAUUCCCCUGUCCGACGAGUGUGCUUCGCUCGGUUAUUUCAGAGACAUCGGCCCCGAGAAUGUAUAUAUAUGUUAUAUUCACACAUGUGGAUACCAUGUAUAUGUAUAUAUAGAUACAUCUAUAGAUCGUGUACGGAUACAUAUGAAGUGAAUAGAUACGAACGUAAGUGCGUGUGCGCGAAUCACACAUACGCAGUGAAGCGACGCGUGCAUACGCGCGAGAUUGUUCGGACGAGUGUCAUCGAUCUAUUUCGAGAAGAGGUUGGAAUUUCUGGCCUUCGAGAGAGGUCAGAGAGGGAGAUAAAGGAAAACGUAUAAGAGACAGAGAAAGAAAGGCGAAAGGAAAGACAGGAAAAUAGAAGGAAGAAUGUGCACAUGCACCUGUACAAUGCAUCCGCACGACUCGGUGGUCGGCGUACGAGUGACCACGUCUCGUUUCUACCUAGCUCGCGAGCCAAUGCUCACUUUCAAAGGGCUUCUAUGAUUGGUGCUGCGUCCGGCCAAUCGGUGACUGGUUUUCCUGGAAGCUACGACUUGGUCACUAUGUGGGGGAAAGGGGAAGACCGUGAGGCGAUGUGACAAGGAAGGGACGAUAUGGCGCGGAAAGGGAGGAGAGAAUAAAGUGGUUGAGGAUCGGACGAUGGUGGGGCAAGCGGUGGUACUCGGCCGUUGCAUUGUGGGGGUGUUGGCCUUCAACUUGACGGCGCAGUUUCACUGACCUGCCUGAGAAACUCGUGAUAUCCGCGCGGCUCGUGCCCCACGAGCGGACGUACCGACGCACGAAUGUCCAGAGAUGCCAAAGGGUACCGCUACUUAAGGGCCCACGAAUCCUAAAUAAACUUACCACGAUGUA